GACGAACGCUGGCGGCGUGCUUAACACAUGCAAGUCGAACGGAAAGGCCCUGCUUUUGUGGGGUGCUCGAGUGGCGAACGGGUGAGUAACACGUGAGUAACCUGCCCUUGACUUUGGGAUAACUUCAGGAAACUCGGGCUAAUAUCGGAUAGGAGCUCCUGCUGCAUGGUGGGGGAUGGAAAGAUUCGGCGGUUGGGGAUGGACUCGCGGCUUAUCAGCUUGUUGGUGGGGUAGUGGCUUACCAAGGCUUUGACGGGUAGCCCGCCUGAGAGGGUGACCGGGCACAAGGGUACUGAGGUACGGCCCAGACUCCUACGGGAGGCAACAGUGGGGAAUAUUGCACAGUGGGCGGGAGCCUGAUGCAGCGACGCCGCGUGCGGGAUGACGGCCUUCGAGUUGUAAACCACUUUCGCCUGUGACGAAGCGUGAGUGACGGUAAUGGGUAAAGAAGCACCGGCUAACUACGUG
rnacentral:rRNA from 1 species